rnacentral:rRNA from 1 species
UCGGGAAUUUUGGGCAAUGGGCGAAAGCCUGACCCAGCAACGCCGCGUGAAGGAUGAAGUAUUUCGGUAUGUAAACUUCGUAAGAAUAGGAAGAAUAAAUGACGGUACUAUUUGUAAGGUCCGGCUAACUACGUGCCAGCAGCCGCGGUAAUACGUAGGGGGCGAGCGUUGUCCGGAAUCAUUGGGCGUAAAGCGCGUGUAGGCGGCUUGAUAAGUCUGGUGUGAAAUCUUGGGGCUCAACCCCAAGCCUGCACUGGAUACUGUCAAGCUUGAGUCCGGGAGGGGAGAGCGGAAUUCCUAGUGUAGCGGUGAAAUGCGCAGAUAUCAGGAGGAACACCGGUGGCGAAGGCGGGUCUCUGGGCAGUAACUGACGCUGAGGAACGAAAGCGUGGGUAGCGAACAGGAUUAGAUACCCCCGUAGUCCCUGAGCGGGCUGGCAAGGCGCAU